rnacentral:misc_RNA from 1 species
GAUGAAGAACGUAGCGAAAUGCGAUAGGUAAUGUGAAUUGCAGAAUUCAGUGAAUCAUCGAAUCUUUGAACGCACAUUGCGCCCGCCAGUAUUCUGGCGGGCAUGCCUGUUCGAGCGUCAUUUCAACCCUCAAGACCCCUUCGGGGGACUUGGUGUUGGGGACCGGCAUAGGGGCCUUGCGCCCCUCGCCGCCCCCGAAAUGAAUUGGCGGCCUCGUCGCGGCCUCCCCUGCGUAGUAGCACAACCUCGCAACGGGAACGUGACGGCGGCCACUGCCGUAAAACAACCCAAUUUUAUUAGAGUUGACCUCGAAUCAGGUAGGAAUACCCGCUGAACUUAAGCAUAUCAAUAAGCGGAGGA